GACGAACGCUGGCGGCGUGCUUAACACAUGCAAGUCUACGAGAACGAGAUAGCAAUAUUUUUAGUAAAGUGGCGCACGGGUGCGUAACACGUAAGCAAUCUACCUUUGGGUCUGGAAUAACUUCGAGAAAUCGAGGCUAAUACCGGAUAAUGCAGCGGCACCGCAUGGUGAUGUUGUUAAAGUUUGAGUAAUGCCUAUAGAUGAGCUUGCGUCUGAUUAGCUAGUUGGUAGGGUAAAGGCCUACCAAGGCUACGAUCAGUAGCUGGUCUGAGAGGAUGAUCAGCCACACUGGAACUGAGACACGGUCCAGACUCCUACGGGAGGCAGCAGUGAGGAAUAUUGGGCAAUGCCCGAAAGGGUGACCCAGCAACGCCGCGUGGAGGAUGAAGGCCGUAA
rnacentral:rRNA from 1 species